AAGAUCAGACCACUGAUCUAUAUAUAUAACUGGAUAGCUCAUGACGUCACAACAGUGAAGCUACUGCGCCGCCAUCUUGGUAUUCCCUAACAUUCUGUACUCCUAUGUGUCUCAAUGGGAAAUCGUCUGUUUUGCAGCAUUACGUUCAGCGGUGCGCGUGCGUACGUGUUUCAAUAGAAACAAGUUUAAGAAACUGAGUGCAGGCCUGAAUACGCUCCAGCUCACGGGCAUCAUUUAUAAAGUGAUCAAUUGGAAUAGACGAGGAGCAGGGCUGGACUGGUAAUCUGGCCUACCGGACAUUUUUCCGGUGGACCGACAAACUUUGGGGCCGAUCAGGGUGGACUGGCCAUCGGGAGAACCGAGCGGGUCGCUGUGUCGGCCGCGAUAAUCUAAAACGAGCCGCCGCGUUAGCGAACACUACCUCCCCCCCCAACAACUUUUUGACAGUUAUGUCAAAUCCCGGGCCGAUUUCUCUUUCCAGUCCAGCCCUGAAAAGGUGCACAUGGAUAUUGUUGAAGUUAAACAAGGUAAAUUUGCCGUUUGGAUUUCAAUAAACAUCGCACUGAAUGCUAGAUAAAACUGGAAUUGGUUUGCAACAGGAGGAAAAGCUGUAUGAGGAGUCAGCCUGGCUUCACUGAAGAGCUGUUUUAACAGAGUAAAAAAUAUUAUACUGUCUGUUUUUAUUUGCAGUGAAGAUACUUUUGCAACAUGCAGUAUAAGUCUCAUAAAAUUACUGUGUUUCAGAUAGUUAUAACAUUUAAUAUUAAUAGAAAAGUUGACCCAAAUAUGUAAAUUCUGUCAUCAUAUACUCAACCUCAUGUCCUUCCAAAUCCAUGUGACUUUCUUUUGCAGAACCCCCAAAAAUGUAUUUUGUAUUCCAUAUAAUGAAAGUAAAUGGUGAGCAAAAUAGCUUGUUUUGGUCACCAAUGGCUUUCAUUAUAUGGACAAAAACAUUUUUUUAAAUGUCAUCUUUUGUGUUCCACAGAAAAAGUCAUACAGGUUUGGAAGGACAUGAGGUUGAGUAAAUAGCUGUGCGUAAGGUCUUAAGUUGGGGUAUAAAGUUCAAGGCUUCAGUAACUACUAGUUAGUUUGCAACUAAGUUGGUGCUUAAUUUGGUUGCUCCACCUGUUCUUUAAGUCAAUUUUUUUUAUGUACU